CAAAUUAAAAAUUAAAUUUUAUUUACAAUAAAGUUAGAGUUAUUAGUUUAACUUAAUUUGA
rnacentral:tRNA from 1 species